rnacentral:rRNA from 1 species
CAUUAUCGAAAUUAUCGGUGAGGGUUGUAGCUGGCCUUUCGGGGCACGUGCACGCCCGAGCCCUUUAAUCCACUUUACACCUGUGAACCUAAUGUAGGUCGCCCCUCGAAAAGGUGGCCUACGUCUUAUCAUCAACCCCAUCGUAUGUCUCAUAGAAUGUAAAUCAAUAUCCUCGCCUUAAAAAAGCGUUGAUAAACUUUAUACAACUUUCAACAACGGAUCUCUUGGCUCUCGCAUCGAUGAAGAACGCAGCGAAAUGCGAUAAGUAAUGUGAAUUGCAGAUUUUCAGUGAAUCAUCGAAUCUUUGAACGCACCUUGCGCUCCUUGGUAUUCCGAGGAGCAUGCCUGUUUGAGUGUCAUUAAAUUCUCAACUCCAAAGGGUUUCACGACCUCUUGGAGAUUGGACUUGGAGCGUGCCGGCGUCCACGUCGGCUCCUCUCAAAUGCAUCAGCGGAAUUCAAUCUUUGGGCUUCCGGAGUCGGUGUGAUAAUCAUGUUGCGCUGUCGUCGGAAUCCUCAGAGUCCGCUCAUUAAUGGUCUUUGGACAAAUCAUCAUCAAAUUUGACCUCAAAUCAGGUAGGACUACCCGCUGAACUUAA